AUCUGAAGGAUACGCAAAAUUCAUUUCAUUAUCAUCGAGCAAAUUGAGGUUGAGUUGUGUCUAUGAAUCCCUGCAUCCCUGGUAGAACCCGGUGUCCUCAUGGGAAGAAUUGCUGGCCCGAGCUGUAUGGGACAAGCAGGGAGAAGGCAUUAGCUGUAAUAAAGCGAGAGAAUCCAAUGGUGAUGGCCUCCAUAGUCAAGGAGGGAACCCCUGACAUUAUGAACUACUGCUGCGAUCGUGUCUGGGUCUGGGUCGAUAACUCUGGUGUCGUUGUUAGGGUCCCUACUAUUGGCUAGCUAAAGCUAAAGAUCAUGCAUGUUACCAAAUGAAUCAAUAAAUAAGUUGCACCUUAAUUAGAGGCUUGGUUGGAUGUGAUGAGUUGAGAUAAAUGUUCUAUGAGGAAAAAUCAUAUAUAAAAAUCCAGCCGAAAUGAAUCCUAAUUAAA